UUUGAUAGCAGCAGCGCUGGCUUUCUAAAGAAAGCUUAGCUCUCACUUUUCUGUCUGUCUCAUUACCGCUCUCAUUGUCUCUUGCGACAGCGGGAACGGAGCAGCCACCUACUCUCCUCCUCACCAUUUAUUCACUUGGGGCCUGUAUUUGGAAUAAGAAAGCAUUGCUGUUUCUGACUGGAGAGAAGGAAGAUUAAACUCAUCUGGAUUUCCUAAGGAAUUUUAUCUGGAUGCUUUGUUACCGAGGCUUUUGAAUUCAUCAGCCGGGGUAUAUAUCCUUUCAGAUCAAUGACCAGGAAGGAGAGGGGAUGGGGAAAGGAUGCUACAGGAAGAGUAUUGGGACGUAGCUGUUGUGCUUGCUUACCUCUCCCUACCAGCAGCCUCGGGGCUCUCAGAGCUCUAUGCUCUAACUAGGCCUCAGUCAUUUCACCCUCUUACUUAACGGCUGAUACUACAGGGAAGUUGUCGGCAUACCAGGGCAUACUAGCAUUUCUUACUGACACCAUGAGGGGUACAUUUGGUCUUUGUUACAGAAUAUGUGUGCGGAUAUGUUGUAGAAUAAGUAUGGUGGUUUUGUGGUCAGACAACUGUGUGAGAGGCUGCUGCAUUGUACUGUACUUAUACAAGUGAUUUUGGUUUUAAAGGAACGAGGAGAUACUAUAAUUGAUGGACUACUGUUUUUGAAUGUUUUUAUAGGUAUUUGUAUGAUACAUUUAUUGUUAGUUUAGGAACUGAUGAUUUUGCAUAUUGUUUAUUAGGCAAUAUGUAUUCUGCUGAAACCACAUAAUUGCUUUAAUUAAAUCGUACAACGAUUAACCUUAAUACUGUUGCUAAAUUAGAUACAUUUUAUAAUUUUUUGACGUUAGCAGUUUCUUAUAAGACAACGACUCUUCCACUUAGAAUAUAUUUUUGUUAUUAAAAUCUCACUACUUUUUCAAGAUAAACAUUUUGAAUGCGUUUUAAUUGUGGUUAUAUUGUUAUUUCUAUAUAUGUUUGUUGCACUUUACCAAAAUCGCAAGAGGUCUUCAAUUCUGCUCAUAGCACAAAUGGCCAAUUUGGAAUUUUAAAUGUAUAUGGAUUUCCAGGAGAGACAAUGUCCUUGUUCCGUGUGGCUCAGUUGGUAGAGCAUGACACUUCAAAUGCCAGGGUUGUGAAUUUGAUUCUCGGGGGGAAAGUAUGAAAAUGUAUGUACCCACUACUGUAAAUCGCUCUGGAUAAGCACGUCCACUAAAUUACAUAAAUGUAAAAGAUAAUCCUGAGAAAAUGAACUUACAUAAUUGAACAAGAUGUUUGAAAGAGAUGCGUAUUUCACUGAAUGGGCCUCAGCAAUGUAAAUACAGCGGUUGCGGGCGUAUCGCUGCCCAUGGAUUCCACUGGGCCUUAGAGUUCUUUGUCUUUGAUUGCUUCGGAAAUAGGACGGUUUUUGAUCAUGCCCUACCUCGGACAUAAUGAACGACAGCUCAGAAAAAGGGAGAGUAUAAUCUGUACAGACACAUAAACACAGGAGAGUAACCCAGCUGUCAUACCACCCUGCAUCCCAUUGCUGGCUUGCCUCUAAGACUAAGCAGGGUAGAGACUGGUCGAUCCUUGAAUGGGAGACCAGAUGCUGCUGGAAGUGGUCUUCGAGGGCUAGUAGGGUCUCUCUUCCCUCUGGUCUCAGAGAGACAUCAAUGCCCCAGGGUUAUGAGUACAGGUGCUAGCCCUGGUGUCCUGGCUAAAUCCCCCACCUGGCCUCUCAUACUAUCUCGGCCACCUAAUCAUCCCCAGCUUCCAUUGGCUCAUUCAACCCCUAUCCGCCCAUGUAACUUCCCCAGGUCUUUCCA